rnacentral:rRNA from 1 species
GAGUUUGAUCCUGGCUCAGGACGAACGCUGGCGGCGUGCCUAAUACAUGCAAGUCGAGCGGAGAAUGUGGAGCUUGCUCCACAUUCUUAGCGGCGGACGGGUGAGUAACACGUGGGCAACCUGCCCUGCAGAUCGGGAUAACUCCGGGAAACCGGUGCUAAUACCGAAUGGUUUUUUGCCCCUCCUGGGGCGAAACGGGAGACGGUUUCGGCUGUCACUGCAGGAUGGGCCCGCGGCGCAUUAGCUAGUUGGUGGGGUAAUGGCCCACCAAGGCGACGAUGCGUAGCCGACCUGAGAGGGUGAUCGGCCACACUGGGACUGAGACACGGCCCAGACUCCUACGGGAGGCAGCAGUAGGGAAUCUUCCGCAAUGGACGCAAGUCUGACGGAGCAACGCCGCGUGAGUGACGAAGGUUUUCGGAUCGUAAAACUCUGUUGUGAGGGAAGAACAAGUACCAAGUAACUACUGGUACCUUGACGGUACCUCACCAGAAAGCCACGGCUAACUACGUGCCAGCAGCCGCGGUAAC